rnacentral:rRNA from 1 species
AUUGAACGCUGGCGGCAGGCCUAACACAUGCAAGUCGAACGGCGCGGCGGUCGGGUGAGUAAUGCCUAGGAAUCUGCAUGGGUGUGGGGGAGAACGUCCGGAAACGGGCGCUAAUACCGCAUACUAUCAGAUGAGUCUAGGCCGGAUUAGCUAGUUGGUGGGGUAAAGGCCUACCAAGGCGACGAUCCGUAACUGGUCUGAGAGGAUGAUCAGUCACACUGGAACUGAGACACGGUCCAGACUCCUACGUGAGGCAGCAGUGGGGAAUAUUGGACAAUGGGCGAAAGCCUGAUCCAGCCAUGCCGCGUGUAUGAAUAAGGUCUUCGGAUUGUAAAGCACUUUAAGUUGGGAGGCGUUACCAACAGAAUAAGCACCGGCUAACUUCGUGCCAGCAGCCGCGGUAAUAC